rnacentral:pre_miRNA from 2 species
GACUUCAACUGAAAAAGUCGUCAAUAACAAAGUUGUAUAAUCCAUUUAGAUCUACAAUUUUCAUUUUGGUCAUUUCUUCAUCGAUAAAUUAAUAGUAACAUUGUUCACAAAUUUUACAUAUCUCUCAUAUGGUUUCAUAAAUUAUAAGAGAGAUGUGUAAAUUUUUUGAACAAUGUUACUAUCAAUUUAUCGGAUGAAGAAAUGACCAAAAUAAAAGUUAUAUAUUUGGAUGAGUUAUACAACUUUGUUGUUGAUGACUUUUUCAGUUGAAAUC